rnacentral:lncRNA from 1 species
GAACUCCCUCUGUAGUAGCACCAGACACAGUGCAGUGACACACUGUGAACCAGAAAGAUCUUGAAGAUGGUUUCAUCAGAGUGGGUCCUAGGCUCUAAGGAGAUAAUAGCUGUAAAGUGCUUGAACAUGUGUAAACAUGCAACAGGUAUAACAAAGGUCAGAAUCCUUAUUAUCUGGAGGGAAGAUGGAGACCCGUAUACUCCAGGAAUGGAUGGCUCCAGAGCGGGGGUGAAUGUUGCCAUGACACCCUAACAUCUACCAGAAUCAGCACCCUAAAAGAUAAACCAGAUGAAAGACAGUGCAGUGGCAGAAGCAGAAGGAGCCUCAGCCUCCUCAUUCUCCUCUGGCUGCAUGAUUUGAAGCCCGUUGAAAGGACUCCCGGCUGACCCUUCUGUCCUUGAAUGCUCCACAUGCCAUGCAUUUCAUAAACAGUCAGGACCAGCCAAUUGUUUUAAUUUCUGCCAGGCCUUUCCUGCCGCCACGUUGAAAUGCUCUGUUCCAUGUCCCUCCACCUGGCGGUAACUGGACAUUCCAUUGCACUCCGUUUUUUGCACACGGGGCUGCCCAGCUUGGGAAUACUGCACUGUCCUCCAUGGGGAGGGAGGCCCAGCACCUGGGCACUGCUGAUGAGUUUUCACUCAUAUUUAAUAUGAGACUUGGGGCGCCCUAAGGAGGAAGAAGCUGCCUUGAGAUCCCCCUCAUAAGCUCUCUGAUGAGUGGCUGCCUUUCCCUGAGCUCCUUGGAUGAAAACUGUCAGGGGAGAUUUCCUGGCUGAAAUCCUUUACUCCCUCCACGACUGUGGCCCAGACACUCCCACACCCUCUCAGCAACCCUGACAUCGUUUUCUUCCCAACCCAGUAUUGCACUUGCUAGCCAUGGACUUCAGGGUAAUCUCACCCCUCUGAGCCUUGGCACCCUCAUCUCUAAAUCGCGGAUAUCAACACCUACUAUUCAGCCCGUCCACAUCCGUGUAGGUAUUCCAGUUGCUACAGUAUUCAAAUACAUCCAUACUGAUUGGUGAAAAGCCAGGACUCUAAGCCCCUGGGUUUCCCUCACCCCAAACACUCCAGCUUCCCCCUCUGAGGCCCACAGACAUCCACAGAAUCAGCAGCCUACAGGUCAUGCCUGACCCGGGAGGAACCUGCAGACCCAGUUCUAGUGCUAUAACCAAGGUCAGUUCUGACAUGUUGGUGUCUGGGCCUUACUGGUUGUUAAAUAUUGUAGUCUUAUCCUUGACCAUGGUGAUGCAAGAUUACGUACAUGAGGCACCCAGCACUUCAGUUCCUGGAACACCAGAGGAAGAAUAACUUUCAUAAUCCUCGUACUUCACAGCAUGGGGCCUCCCAUGUUUGUUUUCCUGUUAAAGUCCGGCUACAAUUUAUCCUCCUUCACCUUUCCAUUUCACCCCUUGUUUUGUUUACUGAGAGCUGAGAUAUUGAGGUUGGGACCUGGUUUGUGUGUGCUUUCUAA